rnacentral:rRNA from 1 species
CUCCUACGGGAGGCAGCAGUGAGGAAUAUUGGUCAAUGGACGCAAGUCUGAACCAGCCAAGUAGCGUGCAGGAUGACGGCCCUAUGGGUUGUAAACUGCUUUUAUGUGGGAAUAAAGUGGCGCACGUGUGCGCCAUUGCAUGUACCUCAUGAAUAAGGACCGGCUAAUUCCGUGCCAGCAGCCGCGGUAAUACGGAAGGUCCGGGCGUUAUCCGGAUUUAUUGGGUUUAAAGGGAGUGUAGGCGGUCUGUUAAGCGUGUUGUGAAAUUUAGGUGCUCAACAUUUAACUUGCAGCGCGAACUGUCAGACUUGAGUACACGCAGCGCAGGCGGAAUUCAUGGUGUAGCGGUGAAAUGCUUAGAUAUCAUGAGGAACUCCGAUCGCGAAGGCAGCCUGCGGGAGUGUUACUGACGCUUAAGCUCGAAGGUGCGGGUAUCGAACAGGAUUAGAUACCCUGGUAGUCCGCACUGUAAACGAUGGAUGCCCGCCGUUGGCGCCCUGCGCCUGCGGCCAAGCGAAAGCAUUAAGCAUCCCACCUGGGGAGUACGCCGGCAACGGUGAAACUCAAAGGAAUUGACGGGGGCCCGCACAAG